AUUGAACGCUGGCGGCAGGCCUAACACAUGCAAGUCGAGCGGAUGAAGGGAGCUUGCUCCUGGAUUCAGCGGCGGACGGGUGAGUAAUGCCUAGGAAUCUGCCUGGUAGUGGGGGAUAACGUCCGGAAACGGGCGCUAAUACCGCAUACGUCCUGAGGGAGAAAGUGGGGGAUCUUCGGACCUCACGCUAUCAGAUGAGCCUAGGUCGGAUUAGCUAGUUGGUGGGGUAAAGGCCUACCAAGGCGACGAUCCGUAACUGGUCUGAGAGGAUGAUCAGUCACACUGGAACUGAGACACGGUCCAGACUCCUACGGGAGGCAGCAGUGGGGAAUAUUGGACAAUGGGCGAAAGCCUGAUCCAGCCAUGCCGCGUGUGUGAAGAAGGUCUUCGGUUUGUAAAGCACUUUAAGUUGGGAGGAAGGGCAGUAAGUUAAUACCUUGUUGUUUUGACGUUACCAACAGAAUAAGCACCGGCUAACUUCGUG
rnacentral:rRNA from 1 species